rnacentral:rRNA from 1 species
CCUACGGGGGGCAGCAGUGGGGAAUAUUGCACAAUGGGCGCAAGCCUGAUGCAGCCAUGCCGCGUGUGUGAAGAAGGCCUUCGGGUUGUAAAGCACUUUCAGCGGGGAGGAAGGCGUUAAGGUUAAUAACCUUGGCGAUUGACGUUACCCGCAGAAGAAGCACCGGCUAACUCCGUGCCAGCAGCCGCGGUAAUACGAGGGUGCAAGCGUUAAUCGGAAUUACUGGGCGUAAAGCGCACGCAGGCGGUCUGUCAAGUCGGAUGUGAAAUCCCCGGGCUCAACCUGGGAACUGCAUUCGAAACUGGCAGCCUAGAUUCUUGAAGAGGGGGGUAGAAUUCCAGGUGUAGCGGUGAAAUGCGUAGAGUGCUGGAGGAAUACCGGUGGCGAAGGCGGCCCCCUGGACAAAGACUGACGCUCAGGUGCGAAAGCGUGGGGAGCAAACAGGAUUAGAUACCGGGUAGUC